AGUCGAACGAGAAUCUACUGAAGGAGGAUUCGUCCAACGGAUGUAGAGGAAAGUGGCGGACGGGUGAGUAACGCGUGAGGAACCUGCCUUGAAGAGGGGGACAACAGUUGGAAACGACUGCUAAUACCGCAUGAAGCAUAGGGGUCGCAUGAUCUUUAUGCCAAAGAUUUAUCGCUUCAAGAUGGCCUCGCGUCUGAUUAGCUAGUUGGCGGGGUAACGGCCCACCAAGGCGACGAUCAGUAGCCGGACUGAGAGGUUGAACGGCCACAUUGGGACUGAGAUACGGCCCAGACUCCUACGGGAGGCAGCAGUGGGGAAUAUUGGGCAAUGGGCGCAAGCCUGACCCAGCAACGCCGCGUGAAGGAAGAAGGCUUUCGGGUUGUAAACUUCUUU
rnacentral:rRNA from 1 species